rnacentral:rRNA from 1 species
ACACAUGCAAGUCGAGGGGCAGCAUCAUUAAAGCUUGCUUUGAUGGAUGGCGACCGGCGCACGGGUGAGUAACACGUAUCCAACCUGCCGACAACACUGGGAUAGCCUUUCGAAAGAAAGAUUAAUACCGGAUGGCAUAGUCUUCCCGCAUGGGAUGACUAUUAAAGAAUUUCGGUUGUCGAUGGGGAUGCGUUCCAUUAGGCAGUUGGCGGGGUAACGGCCCACCAAACCAACGAUGGAUAGGGGUUCUGAGAGGAAGGUCCCCCACAUUGGAACUGAGACACGGUCCAAACUCCUACGGGAGGCAGCAGUGAGGAAUAUUGGUCAAUGGACGAGAGUCUGAACCAGCCAAGUAGCGUGAAGGAUGACUGCCCUAUGGGUUGUAAACUUCUUUUAUACGGGAAUAAAGUGAGCCACGUGUGGCUUUUUGUAUGUACCGUAUGAAUAAGGAUCGGCUAACUCCGUGCCAGCAGCCGCGGUAAUACGGAGGAUCCGAGCGUUAUCCGGAUUUAUUGGGUUUAAAGGGAGCGUAGGCGGGUUGUUAAGUCAGUUGUGAAAGUUUGCGGCUCAACCGUAAAAUUGCAGUUGAUACUGGCGACCUUGAGUGCAACAGAGGUAGGCGGAAUUCGUGGUGUAGCGGUGAAAUGCUUAGAUAUCACGAAGAACUCCGAUUGCGAAGGCAGCUUACUGGAUUGUAACUGACGCUGAUGCUCGAAAGUGUGGGUAUCAAACAGGAUUAGAUACCCUGGUAGUCCACACAGUAAA